rnacentral:rRNA from 1 species
CCUACGGGCGGCAGCAGUGGGGAAUAUUGGACAAUGGGCGAAAGCCUGAUCCAGCCAUGCCGCGUGUGUGAAGAAGGCCUUCGGGUUGUAAAGCACUUUCAGUGGGGAAGAAAGCCUUGGGGCUAAUACCCUCGAGGAAGGACAUCACCCACAGAAGAAGCACCGGCUAACUCCGUGCCAGCAGCCGCGGUAAUACGGAGGGUGCGAGCGUUAAUCGGAAUUACUGGGCGUAAAGCGCGCGUAGGCGGUCUGAUAAGCCGGUUGUGAAAGCCCCGGGCUCAACCUGGGAACGGCAUCCGGAACUGUCAGGCUAGAGUGCAGGAGAGGAAGGUAGAAUUCCCGGUGUAGCGGUGAAAUGCGUAGAGAUCGGGAGGAAUACCAGUGGCGAAGGCGGCCUUCUGGACUGACACUGACGCUGAGGUGCGAAAGCGUGGGUAGCAAACAGGAUUAGAUACCCGAGUAGU